rnacentral:rRNA from 1 species
GAGUUUGAUCCUGGCUCAGGAUGAACGCUAGCGACAGGCUUAACACAUGCAAGUCGAGGGGCAGCGGGGGCGAAGCUUGCUUCGCCUGCCGGCGACCGGCGCACGGGUGAGUAACACGUAUGCGACCUGCCCCCCGCAGGGGGAUAACCGGGAGAAAUCCCGACUAAUACCGCGUAACGCCGCGGGGCUGCAUGGCCCCGCGGCCAAAGGAAGCGAUUCCGGCGGGGGAUGGGCAUGCGGCGCAUUAGCUAGUCGGCGGGGUAACGGCCCACCGAGGCGACGAUGCGUAGGGGUUCUGAGAGGAAGGUCCCCCACACUGGUACUGAGACACGGACCAGACUCCUACGGGAGGCAGCAGUGAGGAAUAUUGGUCAAUGGGCGUAAGCCUGAACCAGCCAAGUCGCGUGAGGGAAGACGGUCCUACGGAUUGUAAACCUCUUUUGCCGGGGAGCAACGGGGUCCUUGCGAGGGCCUUAUGAGAGUACCCGGAGAAAAAGCAUCGGCUAACUCCGUGCCAGCAGCCGCGGUAAUACGGAGGAUG